rnacentral:rRNA from 1 species
UGCGGAGGGUGCAAGCAUUAAUCGGAAUUAUUGGGCGUAAAGGGCGCGUAGGCGGAUAUAUAAGUCAGAUGUGAAAUUCCGAGGCUCAACUUCGGAGCUGCAUUUGAAACUAUAUGUCUCGAGGAUUGGCGGAGAGAACGGAAUUCCACGUGUAGCGGUGAAAUGCGUAGAUAUGGGGAAGAACACCGGUGGCGAAAGCGGUUCUCUAGGUUAUUCCUGACGCUGAGGCGCGAGAGCGAGGGGAGCAAACAGG